ACUCCUACGGGAGGCAGCAGUGGGGAAUAUUGGACAAUGGGGGGAACCCUGAUCCAGCCAUGCCGCGUGUGUGAAGAAGGCCUUAUGGUUGUAAAGCACUUUAAGCGAGGAGGAGGCUACUAGGGUAUUAAUACUACUGGGAUAGUUGGACGUUUACUCGCAGAAUAAGCACCGGCUAACUCUGUGCCAGCAGCCGCGGUAAUACAGAGGGUGCGAGCGUUAAUCGGAUUUACUGGGCGUAAAGCGUGCGUAGGCGGCCAUUUAAGUCAAAUGUGAAAUCCCCGAGCUUAACUUGGGAAUUGCAUUCGACUU
rnacentral:rRNA from 1 species